CUUCUAACAAGCACAUAUACUAAAAUUGCAGUAAUGUUGAGAAGAUGAGCAUGGCCUCUGCACAAGGAUGAUGCAAUUCAUGAAGCAUUCCAUAUUAAA
rnacentral:snRNA from 3 species